CAGUCGCCGCGGUAAUACGUAGGUGGCAAGCGCUGUCCGGAAUUAUUGGGCGUAAAGGGCUCGCAGGCGGUUUCUUAAGUCUGAUGUGAAAGCCCCCGGCUCAACCGGGGAGGGUCAUUGGAAACUGGGAAACUUGAGUGCAGAAGAGGAGAGUGGAAUUCCACGUGUAGCGGUGAAAUGCGUAGAGAUGUGGAGGAACACCAGUGGCGAAGGCGACUCUCUGGUCUGUAACUGACGCUGAGGAGCGAAAGCGUGGGGAGCGAACAGGAUUAGAUACCCCUGUAGUCCCUGUCUCUUAUAC
rnacentral:rRNA from 1 species